GUUAAAAANUCGUAACAAGGUCUCCGUUGGUGAACCAGCG
rnacentral:rRNA from 1 species